rnacentral:rRNA from 1 species
ACAGAGGGCCGGCCGCUGGCAACAUCGGUCCAAUCCUUAAAGUCAUCCUCAGUUCGGACUGGGGUCUGCAACCCGACCCCACGAAGCUGGAUUCGCUAGUAAUCGCGCAUCAGCCAUGGCGCGGUGAAUACGUUCCCGGGCCUUGUACACACCGCCCGUCAAGCCAUGAAAGCCGGGGGCGCCUGAAGUCCGUGACCGCGAGGGUCGGCCUAGGGUGAAACCGGUGAUUGGGGCUAAGUCGUAACAAGGUAAC